rnacentral:rRNA from 1 species
UACGGAGGGGGCAAGCGUUGUCCGGACUUACUGGGCGUAAAGGGUGCGUAGGCGGCCUGCUGCGUCGGUGCUGAAAGCGCCCGGCUUAACCGGGCGAGGCGUGCCGAUACGAGCGGGCUGGAGCCUUGGCGAGGGUGGCGGAACUCCUGGUGUAGUGGUGAAAUACGUAGAGAUCAGGAAGAACACCCGUGGCGCAAGCGGCCACCUGGCCAAGAGCUGACGCUGAGGCACGAGAGCGUGGGGAGCGAACCGG